rnacentral:rRNA from 1 species
UACGGAGGGUGCGAGCGUUGUCCGGAAUCAUUGGGCGUAAAGCGCGUGUAGGCGGCUCGAUAAGUCUGCUGUGAAAGUCCAGGGCUCAACCCUGGAAUGCCGGUGGAUACUGUCGAGCUCGAGUCCGGAAGAGGCGAGUGGAAUUCCUGGUGUAGCGGUGAAAUGCGCAGAUAUCAGGAGGAACACCAAUAGCGAAGGCAGCUCGCUGGGACGUGACUGACGCUGAGACGCGAAAGCGUGGGGAGCAAACAGG